rnacentral:rRNA from 1 species
UCCUACGGGAGGCAGCAGUAAGGAAUAUUGGUCAAUGGACGCAAGUCUGAACCAGCCAUGCCGCGUGGAGGAUGAAGGUCCUCUGGAUUGUAAACUUCUUUUAUAUGGGACGAAACAGGUCGAUCUAAGGCAACUGACGGUACCAGAUGAAUAAGCACCGGCUAACUCCGUGCCAGCAGCCGCGGUAAUACGGAGGGUGCAAGCGUUAUCCGGAUUCACUGGGUUUAAAGGGUGCGUAGGUGGGUACGUAAGUCAGUGGUGAAAUCUCCGAGCUUAACUCGGAAACUGCCGUUGAUACUAUAUGUCUUGAAUAUUGUAGAGGUAAGCGGAAUAUGUCAUGUAGCGGUGAAAUGCUUACAUUGAGGAUGAACACCCCUUGCGAAG